rnacentral:snRNA from 1 species
GGAUGUGAGGGCAAUCUGGCUGUGACAUCUGUCACCCCAUUGAUCGCCAGGGUUGAUUCGGCUGAUCUGGCUGGCUAGGCAGGUGUGCCCUUCCUCCCUAAUUGCUCCAUGUGCGUCCUUUCCAAAGCUGCUUGGUUGAAGAGGAUGACCAUCCCCAAUAGAGGAGGACCGUUCUUCAGUCAAGGGUAUACCAGUAGCUGUGUUCCCCUGCUAGAACCUCCAAAUAAGCUCUCAAAGUCCAGUACUGCUAAAAAAAAUCAUCACUUUAUUCCAAAGAAUUUAAGGUUAUGAAAU